rnacentral:rRNA from 1 species
CCCAAUCCUCUUCACCACAUGUGGAUCCAAGAGGAUCAGCAAGUACUGGGAUAUCUCCUGAAUAAUCUCUCGAAGGAAGUGCUCGUGCAGGUCACCUCAAUCGUCCAUGCACACGAGCUCUGGUCGGCGCUGGCAAAGAUGUUCUCGUCGACCUCGCUGUCCCGCGUCAACAACAUCCGGGCGGCGCUCACCAACACGCAGAAGGGCACGCAGUCUGUGGCGACCUUGUUCGCGCACAUGCGAUCUCUCGCUGACGAGCUCGCGGCGGCCGGCAAACCCCUGGACGACGACGAGCUCAUCUCCUACAUCAUCAACGCCCUGGACAUGGAAUACCAGCCGCUGGUCUCUGCCCUGGAUGCUCGUGUCAUCCCGGUCACUCUUGACGAACUGUUCGCUUAG